GUAAAUGGCGAAAGAAAGUUAGGGCGUCUGGUGGAUGCCUUGGCUCUCGGAGGCGAUGAAGGACGUGAUAAGCUGCGAUAAGCCGUGGGUAGGUGCAAAUAACCUUUGAUCCAUGGAUUUCCGAAUGGGACAACCCAGCCGGCUGAAGGCCGGUUAUCCUUACCCAAGUAAGGAGGCAAACGGGGGGAACUGAAACAUCUUAGUACCCCCAGGAAGAGAAAAUAAAUAAUGAUUCCCCCAGUAGUGGCGAGCGAACGGGGAAGAGCCCAAACCGCAUGUGUAGCAAUGCACAUACGGGGUAGUAGGACCACGCCGUGGUACCUGAAUCGUGAGAAGAAUCAUCUGGAAAGUUGAUCCGUAGAAGGUGAAAGACCUGUAAUCGAAGCGAGACGGGGCCUAGUGGUAUCCUGAGUAACGCGGAGCACGAGGAAUUCUGCGCGAAUCCGCCGGGACCAUCCGGUAAGGCUAAAUACUCCCGAGAGACCGAUAGCGAACCAGUACCGUGAGGGAAAGGUGAAAAGCACCCCGACGAGGGGAGUGAAACAGUACCUGAAACCAGUCGCCUACAAGCGGUCGGAGCUAGUUUUACUAGUGACGGCGUGCCUUUUGCAUAAUGAACCUACGAGUUACCAUCACAGGCGAGGUUAAGCGGUUCAGCCGCGUAAGCCGCAGUGAAAGCGAGCCUGAACAGGGCGUCAAGUCUGUGGGGGUAGACGCGAAACCGAGUGAUCUACACAUGUCCAGGGUGAAGUCCCGGUAACACGGGAUGGAGGCCCGCACCAAUAAGCGUUGAAAAGCUUCUGGAUGAGGUGUGUGUAGGAGUGAAAGGCCAAUCAAACUCGGAGAUAGCUCGUACUCCCCGAAAGGCAUUUAGGUGCCGCGUCGGAUGGUCACCGUGAGAGGUAGAGCGACCGAUAGGUCAAGAGGGCUUCACCGCCUAUCGAGACCUGACGAACUCCGAAUGCUCACGGUCUGCAGUCCGGCAGUAAGGGUGCGGGUGCUAAGGUCCGUGCCCGAGAGGAGAAGAAUCCAGACCGCCGUCUAAGGUCCCGGAAUCCUGUCUGAGUUAGUCUAACGAAGUCU
rnacentral:rRNA from 1 species